rnacentral:rRNA from 1 species
GACAGAGGUGCCAAGCGUUAGGCGGAAUCACUGGGCUUAAAGCGUGUGUAGGCGGAUUCCUAAGUACCUUGUGAAAUCCCCCGGCUCAACCGGGGAACUGCUUGGUAUACUGGGUGUCUUGAGCCAACUAGGGGCUGCCGGAACAAGUGGUGGAGCGGUGAAAUGCGUAGAUAUCACUUGGAACGCCAACGGUGAAAACAGGCAGCUGGGGUUGUGCUGACGCUGAGACACGAAAGCCAGGGGAGCAAAACGGG